CGAAGAGGUCACACCCGUUCCCAUGCCGAACACGGAAGUUAAGCUCUUCAGCGCCGAUGGUAGUCGGGGGUUUCCCCCUGUGAGAGUAGGACGCCGCCAAGC
rnacentral:rRNA from 3 species